UACGAAGGGGGCUAGCGUUGCUCGGAAUUACUGGGCGUAAAGCGUGCGUAGGCGGUUUGUUAAGUCUGCUGUGAAAGUCCUGGGCUCAACCUGGGAACUGCAGUGGAUACUGGCGAGCUAGAGUGUGUCAGAGGAUGGUGGAAUUCCCGGUGUAGCGGUGAAAUGCGUAGAGAUCGGGAGGAACACCAGUGGCGAAGGCGGCCAUCUGGGACAACACUGACGCUGAGGCACGGAAAAGCGUGGGGAGCAAACAGGGAUUAAGAUACCCC
rnacentral:rRNA from 1 species